UCUCAAGUCAAGACCAGAAAGAAGAAAGCACAGUAUAUUUUGUUGGAAACUGGAUGGGAAAAAAAAGUUAGUUGCAAAAAAACAAGAAACAAUGAAAAAUGGAAAUGAAGAAAUGGAUGGCCAAUGUUUGGACAGCGACAAAGCUGACUGGUUUCACUUGGAGCACAGAGCACUUUUCUUCCCUCCAUCAUCCAGUUCUUGCAGAGGACACGUGGAAGAAUUUUUCAGUCGACAUGAAGUUUUUGAGUCCUGCAGGGAGUGUGAAAGAAAAGACAAAAAGUCAAGCUCUGCCUCAGCAUUAUGACUGGCUGCAAGAGAUCGUCUGGUCAAUAUACUGAACUGCAACAAUAACCAACAUUCCCUGAAGCAAUGAAAACAAGCCACAAUAUGUGUGUUGAUACUACAGAAAGAGAACAGACAGUCAGAAUCUGACUGACUAAAACAAGACAAAUUCAGCAGCUAAAAAAAAACUAAAUGCUUUUCCUUUUUAAUGGGAAGUAUUCUUAUUUUAUUCAAAAAUAUGUCAGUAAGUCUUUAUUCUUUGAAUCCAUGGAAACUGCAUGUAAAGAAGAUUUAAAGUAAAGUGUGGGUCUGUCAGUUUAAAGGUGAAUAAAACCUGGAUUAAUAAGGUGGGACCAUCAUUAUUGUAGCACGUUGAGCUGCCCAACUAAACACUUUCUGGUAUAUGCAAUAAGUGCAGUACAAAUGUUGAUUUAACAUCAUCAGACACAGGGGCAUAUGGUUUACCUGCAGGGAUCUGAGAAUUUGCAUUUCUUUAGGUCACCAUCUGGAGGCUGAAAUGCAAACCGUUCUGCUGAGCUGUGCAGAAAUGGUUCAUUAUUGUGAAUUAGGACAGCUUUGGGCUUUAAUUUAAUUAAACUGUGUUAUACUGACACCACUGCCAAGCUAAUUUAGUAAAACACCACACUGCAGGAAUAAAGUUCACACUUGUUUAGUCAGCAGUCAAGGAAGUUGGUUUCUAAGGCAAAGCGAACUAGAAACACAGUAAAAAUCUGUGUUUUAGCCAUCUGUCUGCAAUAAUUUAUCUCUUCUAAGAUACCCAUCUCCAAAAUGUUUUUUUUUUUAUUUCAUACACUGACAUGGGGUUCUGUAUUUUCUACUGCAGAGCCAUCAGAGACAAUAUAAAGCAAUAGCAAAAAUGUGUAAAAAUUCUUAAAUUUAAUAAACGUUUUAUUGCAGUUUCCUUAUCUAGCACUGAAAUUUGUAAAAACAAUAUCCAGCCUUUAAUAUAAGUACAUUACUCAAAUAAAAACAAAAACUCCAAUGUUAAGAAAUUCUUAUAAUUACAAAUUAUACUUUAAAUUUAUCA